ACACGGGGGGCGCAAGCGUUAUUCGGAAUUAUUGGGCGUAAAGGGCGCGUAGGCGGUCUUGUCGGUCAGAUGUGAAAGCCCAGGGCUCAACCUUGGACGUGCAUUUGAAACAGCAAGACUGGAGUACGGGAGAGGAAAGCGGAAUUCCUGGUGUAGAGGUGAAAUUCGUAGAUAUCAGGAGGAACACCGAUGGCGAAGGCAGCUUUCUGGACCGAUACUGACGCUGAGGCGCGAAGGCGUGGGUAGCGAACAGGAUUAGAAACCCCGGUAGUCC
rnacentral:rRNA from 1 species